rnacentral:rRNA from 1 species
UGGGGAACCUGCCCCAUAGUCUGGGAUACCACUUGGAAACAGGUGCUAAUACCGGAUAAGAAAGCGGAUCGCAUGAUCAGCUUUUAAAAGGCGGCGUAAGCUGUCGCUAUGGGAUGGCCCCGCGGUGCAUUAGCUAGUUGGUAAGGUAAAGGCUUACCAAGGCGAUGAUGCAUAGCCGAGUUGAGAGACUGAUCGGCCACAUUGGGACUGAGACACGGCCCAAACUCCUCGGGAGGCAGCAGCA